rnacentral:rRNA from 1 species
GGGGGUUCUCCGUUUGGUGACCAGCGGAGGGAUCAUUA